AUACCGGCAGCUCAAGUGGUAGCCGCUUUUAUUGGGCCUAAAGCGUCCGUAGCCGGUCUGAUAAGUCUCUGGUGAAAUCCCACAGCUUAACUGUGGGAAUUGCUGGAGAUACUAUCAUGACUCGAGGUCGGGAGAGGCUGGAGGUACUCCCAGGGUAGGGGUGAAAUCCUGUAAUCCUGGGAGGACCACCUGUGGCGAAGGCGUCCAGCUGGAACGAACCUGACGGUGAGGGACGAAAGCCAGGGGCGCGAACCGGAUUAGAUACCCGGGUAGUCCUGGCCGUAAACGAUGUGGACUUGGUGUUGGGAUGGCUUCGAGCUGCCCCAGUGCCGAAGGGAAGCUGUUAAGUCCACCGCCUGGGAAGUACGGCCGCAAGGCUGAAACUUAAAGGAAUUGACGGGG
rnacentral:rRNA from 1 species